GUGAGGAAUAUUGCACAAUGGGCGAAAGCCUGAUGCAGCAACGCCGCGUGGGUGAAGAAGGCCUUCGGGUCGUAAAACCCUUUUCCGAGGGAAGAGAUAGGACGGUACCUCGGGAAUAAGGUUCGGCUAACUACGUGCCAGCAGCCGCGGUAAAACGUAGGAACCGAGCGUUAUCCGGAUUCACUGGGCGUAAAGCGCCUGCAGGCGGUCUUGUAAGUUGGACGUGAAAUCUCCCGGCUUAACUGGGAGGCGCCGUUCAAUACUGUGAGACUUGAGGACAGAAGAGGGAAGUGGAAUUCCCGGUGUAGUGGUAAAAUGCGUAGAUAUCGGGAGGAACACCAGUGGCGAAGGCGGCUUCCUGGUCUGUCCCUGACGCUAAGAGGCGAAAGCUAGGGGAGCGAACGGGAUUAGAAACCCUGGUAGUCC
rnacentral:rRNA from 1 species